AUUGAACGCUGGCGGCAGGCUUAACACAUGCAAGUCGAACGAGUGGCGGACGGGUGAGUAAUGCUUGGGAAUCUAGCUUAUGGAGGGGGAUAACUACGGGAAACUGUAGCUAAUACCGCAUACCAUAGGAUGAGCCCAAGUAGGAUUAGCUAGUUGGUGGGGUAAAGGCUCACCAAGCCGACGAUCUCUAGCUGGUCUGAGAGGAUGACCAGCCACACCGGGACUGAGACACGGCCCAGACUCCUACGGGAGGCAGCAGUGGGGAAUAUUGCGCAAUGGGGGCAACCUGACGCAGCCAUGCCGCGUGGAUGAAGAAGGCCUUCGGGUUGUAAAGUUCUUUCGGUAGCGAGGCGUUAACUACAGAAGAAGCACCGGCUAACUCCGUGCCAGCAGCCGCGGUAAUUC
rnacentral:rRNA from 1 species